rnacentral:rRNA from 1 species
UAAUACGUAGGGGGCGAGCGUUGUCCGGAUUUAUUGGGCGUAAAGAGCUCGUAGGCGGCUUGGCAAGUCGGGUGUGAAACCUCCAGGCUCAACCUGGAGACGCCACUCGAUACUGCUAUGGCUAGAGUCCGGUAGGGGACCACGGAAUUCCUGGUGUAGCGGUGAAAUGCGCAGAUAUCAGGAGGAACACCGGUGGCGAAGGCGGUGGUCUGGGCCGGCACUGACGCUGAGGAGCGAAAGCGUGGGUAGCAAACAGGAUUAGAUACCCUGGUAGUCCACGCCGUAAACGUUGGGCACUAGGUGUGGGGCCUUAUCAACGGGUUCCGUGCCGUAGCUAACGCAUUAAGUGCCCCGCCUGGGGAGUACGGCCGCAAGGCUA